AGUGAACGCUGGCGGUAGGCCUAACACAUGCAAGUCGAACGGCAGCACAGUAAGAGCUUGCUCUUACGGGUGGCGAGUGGCGGACGGGUGAGGAAUACAUCGGAAUCUACUUUUUCGUGGGGGAUAACGUAGGGAAACUUACGCUAAUACCGCAUACGACCUACGGGUGAAAGCAGGGGAUCUUCGGACCUUGCGCGAUUGAAUGAGCCGAUGUCGGAUUAGCUAGUUGGCGGGGUAAAGGCCCACCAAGGCGACGAUCCGUAGCUGGUCUGAGAGGAUGAUCAGCCACACUGGAACUGAGACACGGUCCAGACUCCUACGGGAGGCAGCAGUGGGGAAUAUUGGACAAGGGGCGCAAGCCUGAUCCAGCCAUACCGCGUGGGUGAAGAAGGCCUUCGGGUUGUAAAGCCCUUUUGUUGGGAAAGAAAGGCAGCAGGUUAAUACCCCGCUGUUCUGACGGUACCCAAAGAAUAAGCACCGGCUAACUUCGUG
rnacentral:rRNA from 1 species